AUCGUUGUUCCCUGAAGUGAGGGUAUGUGCCCUUGGACUACAUUGUGGAGGCCAGCACCAUGCAGUCCAUGGGCAUAUACACUUACUUCAUGGCCUACAUCAACA
ensembl:miRNA dre-mir-455-2 dre-mir-455-2